GUCAUUUUUGUUUUCUUAAUUUUUUUUUUUAAACAAUACAAGGAAACGGGCAUUCCAUAUGAAUGAAUUAUCGUUUACAGUAGAACAACUCAGUCCUUUUGAUAAUUAAAUUAUGAGGAAAGGCCAAGUGCUAACUCAAAGGAAAACAAUAAACAAAAAAAAAAUUAAGAAAACAAAAAUGACGUCUCUAUAGGGAGUCACAUGACCCAAUUAAAACCGAGACUCGGGCAGAGCCACAUCACAGGGACUCAAGCUCCUCAUAUACACACUGGCAUCUGGAAUUACAUAGCACACUUGCAAAUAGAAUAUGAUCACACUUGCAAAGAGAGGGUCCUCUGGCUUCCAAGGUUAUGUGGUUUUAUCUCCCAU
rnacentral:misc_RNA from 1 species